GAGUCCGGGAGAUAGACAGCGGGGGCUAAGCUUCAUUGUCGAGAGGGGAACAGCCCAGACCGCCGAUUAAGGUCCCUAAUUUUAUGCUAAGUGUGUAAGGAAGUAAUGAUUCUAAGACAGUUGGAAUGUUGGCUUAGAGGCAGCAACCAUUUAAAGAGUGCGUAACAGCUCACCAAUCGAGAAUCAUUGCGCCGAUAAUAUCCGGGACUAAGUAUAAAACCGACAUCGCGGGUGUAUGAGUUUAAUCAUACGCGGUAGGAGAGCGUAGUAUUCAGCAUUGAAGAUGUAUCGAAAGAAGCAUUGGAGCGGAUACUAGUGAAGAUCCAUG
rnacentral:rRNA from 1 species